rnacentral:rRNA from 1 species
GAUGAACGCUAGCUACAGGCUUAACACAUGCAAGUCGAGGGGCAGCAUUAUCGAAGCUUGCUUUGAUAGAUGGCGACCGGCGCACGGGUGAGUAACGCGUAUCCAACCUUCCCCAUAGUAGGGCAUAGCCCGUAGAAAUGCGGAUUAAUACCCUAUGUAUUCCGAGGAUGACAUCUGAUUCGGAACAAAGGUUCACCGCUAUGGGAUGGGGAUGCGUCUGAUUAGGUAGUCGGCGGGGUAACGGCCCACCGAGCCGACGAUCAGUAGCCGGUCUGAGAGGAUGAACGGCCACAUUGGGACUGAGACACGGCCCAGACUCC